GACGAACGCUGGCGGCGUGCUUAACACAUGCAAGUCGAACGGAAAGGCCCUGCUUUUGUGGGGUGCUCGAGUGGCGAACGGGUGAGUAACACGUGAGUAACCUGCCCUUGACUUUGGGAUAACUUCAGGAAACUGGGGCUAAUACCGGAUAGGAGCUCCUGCUGCAUGGUGGGGGUUGGAAAGUUUCGGCGGUUGGGGAUGGACUCGCGGCUUAUCAGCUUGUUGGUGGGGUAGUGGCUUACCAAGGCUUUGACGGGUAGCCGGCCUGAGAGGGUGACCGGCCACAUUGGGACUGAGAGACGGCCCAGACUCCUACGGGAGGCAGCAGUGGGGAAUAUUGCACAAUGGGCGGAAGCCUGAUGCAGCAACGCCGCGUGCGGGAUGACGGCCUUCGGGUGGUAAACCGCUUUCGCCGGUGACGAAGCGUGAGUGACGGUAAUGGGUAAAGAAGCACCGGCUAACUACGUG
rnacentral:rRNA from 1 species